rnacentral:misc_RNA from 1 species
UCCGAGUUGACCCCGGCAGUCUCCUAUGAGUUCCCACCAUUACGUGCUGGCAACAUAGAACGAGGGUUGCGCUCGUUGCGGGACUUAACCCAACAUCUCACGACACGAGCUGACGACAACCAUGCACCACCUGUAUACCGACCACAAGUGGGGCGCUUGUUUCCAAACGUUUCCGGUUCAUGUCAAGCCUUGGUAAGGUUCUUCGCGUUGCAUCGAAUUAAGCCACGCGCUCCGCCGCUUGUGCGGGCCCCCGUCAAUUCCUUUGAGUUUUAGCCUUGCGGCCGUACUCCCCAGGCGGGGUGCUUAAUGCGUUAGCUGCGGCACGGAAAUCUUGCGAUCCCCACACCUAGCACCCACCGUUUACGGCUAGGACUAC